rnacentral:rRNA from 1 species
AAGAGUGAACUAGCUAACUGAAAUCACAUGAGGCAUAAGUGUGUUAAAUGUGAUAAGGUAAGGGGAAAAACUGAUUUAACCUUACUAUUAGUGUUGUCCAAAUCUGGUGCCAGAAGACUCGGUAAGACCAGAAACGCAAACGUUAAUCGUCCUAAUCAGGCGUAAAGGGUUUGUAGGCCGCUUUAACUAUUUCUGUUUAAAAAGCUCUGAAUCUUUAAAAAUUCAGUAAAUAGAAAUACACUAAAAGCUAGAAUCAAAUAGAGGAUAAGCCGAAUAAUACUUAGAGUAGGGAUGAUAUCCAUAGAUACUAAGGGGAAUACUAAAGGUGAAAGCUUUUAUCUACUAUUGAUUGACGCUGAGAAACGAAGGUGAGAAUAGGAAAUAGGAUUAGAUACCCAGAUACCUCUCACUGUCAACGAUGAAUGGUGGUUUGUUAGUUUUAAUAAAAACUGAUAACGAUGUUAACGCGAUAACCAUUCCGCCUUGCGAGUACGGUUGCAAAACUGAAACCAAAAAAAUUAGUCGGUCUCGAAGCAAACGAAGUGAAGCAUGUUAUUUAAUU